GAUGAACGCUGGCGGCGUGCCUAAUACAUGCAAGUCGAGCGAACAGACGAGGAGCUUGCUCCUCUGACGUUAGCGGCGGACGGGUGAGUAACACGUGGAUAACCUACCUAUAAGACUGGGAUAACUUCGGGAAACCGGAGCUAAUACCGGAUAAUAUAUUGAACCGCAUGGUUCAAUAGUGAAAGACGGUUUUGCUGUCACUAUAGAUGGAUCCGCGCCGCAUUAGCUAGUUGGUAAGGUAACGGCUUACCAAGGCGACGAUGCGUAGCCGACCUGAGAGGGUGAUCGGCCACACUGGAACUGAGACACGGUCCAGACUCCUACGGGAGGCAGCAGUAGGGAAUCUUCCGCAAAGGGCGAAAGCCUGACGGAGCAACGCCGCGUGAGUGAUGAAGGUCUUCGGAUCGUAAAACUCUGUUAUUAGGGAAGAACAAAUGUGUAAGUAACUAUGCACGUCUUGACGGUACCUAAUCAGAAAGCCACGGCUAACUACGUG
rnacentral:rRNA from 1 species